rnacentral:lncRNA from 10 species
GUUUUCAUUCAGGUGGCCUCCAUUUGACUCCCGACAGCCUGAACUCGUCACGUAGAAGCACCUUGAGGAAGAAAUUGUCUUGUCUACAGCUCUAUCCUCAGUACAGCACCAAGCUUACAGUGGAUGCUCAGUGAAGAUUUGCCGAUUUGCCGAAUGAAUGCUUUCACCCCUGCAACUGUUUACUGCCUGCUAGGAGCUCAGAGCCUCUGGGAUACAGGCUGGGAAUGACAGUGCCUGCUCGCUUGGAAGGCCUCUCUUCUGGAGUCAAUAAAACAGCACUUCUUUGCUUCUUCCUGGCUGGUCCACAUCUUUCACUGAGGAGUGGAUAGUGGAGGGAGAGUUCAUUUCUAGGGCACCACAGCUAUGAGAAAAGCAAGACCAGUGCCCUUGGAGGCCCACUAAAAAGGCCCCCACUGGAUUAUUCCAGCAGGCUCGGCUGGCCUGUUUUCUUCCUCCCCUGGUAGAAUUGUGCCUGCAUUGGCUAUAAAGUCCAUUUGCACACAGAAGGGGUGUGUGUGGAAGGACUCUGCAGAAGUGAAUCCGCUGAGUAAUGCCUGCUUCCUCAGAGGGUGAAUGCCAAGAUGCCUCCAAAGGACAUGAAGGGCUCUGAAGGGGAAGAUGACUGAGGGCACCAUUUUUGAUCACUGCCAAUUAAAAAAAAAAAAAUUCAUGACCCCUACCGUGGUUCAGAAACCGGGGACUAAGGAGAUGAAAAACCGGGGAGACAGGAACCGCUGGAGAAACUGACUUGUCAUUAGCUAGAGCCAGUAAAGGGCAGGGAGGGCCCACCCUAUCAUUACUUGGAUCAAAACAUAUUUUGCUGCUCCCAGGGCCAUGGCAUGACUUGGCAUAAACAGAGGGUUGGUUUUUCUUCUUGAGAACCAAAAUAUUUAUCUACCUUGAAGCUAUGUUGGUCAGGGUCUAAAAUUAUUUAAUAGAAGUGUCAGAGAAGAAAAGGGAUUAACAGCUUUCCCCCUCUCCACGCCUUCAUCUGCCCCCACCCCCCGCCCCACCGGGAUAACUAAAUUCCUAAAUAAUCCAUACCUAGAAAGAUGACCUAAUCCCAUACCACAAGGUUACUGAUGAGGAUUUGGGUUUAGAGAAGAUAAGGGACUUAGCCAAGGUCAAGCAGUGUGGGAGAGUAAGGGGCUUUAGGAUUCAGAAACCAGGUGGAACCUAGCUCCAUACAUGGUUCUGUAAACUUGAAUUUGGGAAGCUUACUUAACCUUUUCUUUUCUCUUUUUUCUUUUCUUUUCUUUUUCCUUUUUUUUUUUUUUUUUUUGAGGUAGAGUCCAGCCCAGGCUGGAGUGCAAUGGCACGAUCUCAGCUAACUGCAACCUCCGCCUCCUGGGUUCAAGCGAUUCUCUUGCCUCAGCCUCCUGAGUAGCUGGGAUUACAGGUGCACACCACCACACCUGGCUAAUAUUUGCCUUUUUGGUAGAAACGGGGUUUCACCAUGUUGGUCAGGCUGAUCUCAAACUCCUGACCUCUGGUGAACCACCCACAUCGGCUUCCCAAAGUGCUAGGAUUACAGGCGUGAGCCACCACGCCCAGCCCAACCUUUUCUAAUUCUGGAUUCUUAUCAGGGAAAUGGGAAAACAGUCUACCUGAAACCAUAAAAUAUCAAACGCUUCAAAAUCCACAGGUUGGCCAGUGCAUUCGCUCACGCCUGUAAUCCUAGCACUUUGAGAGGCCGAGGUGGGCAGAUUGCUUGAGCUCAGGAGUUUGACAACAGCCUGGGUAACAUGAUGAAAACCUGUCUCUACCAAAAAAUACAUGAAAAUUGGCCGGGUGUGGCCAGGCACAGUGGCUCACGCCUGUAAUC